AGAGUUUGAUCAUGGCUCAGAUUGAACGCUGGCGGCAGGCCUAACACAUGCAAGUCGAGCGGUAGCACAGAGAGCUUGCUCUCGGGUGACGAGCGGCGGACGGGUGAGUAAUGUCUGGGAAACUGCCUGAUGGAGGGGGAUAACUACUGGAAACGGUAGCUAAUACCGCAUAAUGUCGCAAGACCAAAGUGGGGGACCUUCGGGCCUCAUGCCAUCAGAUGUGCCCAGAUGGGAUUAGCUAGUAGGUGGGGUAACGGCUCACCUAGGCGACGAUCCCUAGCUGGUCUGAGAGGAUGACCAGCCACACUGGAACUGAGACACGGUCCAGACUCCUACGGGAGGCAGCAGUGGGGAAUAUUGCACAAUGGGCGCAAGCCUGAUGCAGCCAUGCCGCGUGUGUGAAGAAGGCCUUCGGGUUGUAAAGCACUUUCAGCGGGGAGGAAGGCGUUGAGGUUAAUAACCUUGUCGAUUGACGUUACCCGCAGAAGAAGCACCGGCUAACUCCGUGCCAGCAGCCGCGGUAAUACGGAGGGUGCAAGCGUUAAUCGGAAUUACUGGGCGUAAAGCGCACGCAGGCGGUCUGUCAAGUCGGAUGUGAAAUCCCCGGGCUUAACCUGGGAACUGCAUUCGAAACUGGCAGGCUAGAGUCUUGUAGAGGGGGGUAGAAUUCCAGGUGUAGCGGUGAAAUGCGUAGAGAUCUGGAGGAAUACCGGUGGCGAAGGCGGCCCCCUGGACAAAGACUGACGCUCAGGUGCGAAAGCGUGGGGAGCAAACAGGAUUAGAUACCCUGGUAGUCCACGCCGUAAACGAUGUCGAUUUGGAGGUUGUGCCCUUGAGGCGUGGCUUCCGGAGCUAACGCGUUAAAUCGACCGCCUGGGGAGUACGGCCGCAAGGUUAAAACUCAAAUGAAUUGACGGGGGCCCGCACAAGCGGUGGAGCAUGUGGUUUAAUUCGAUGCAACGCGAAGAACCUUACCUGGUCUUGACAUCCACAGAACUUUCCAGAGAUGGAUUGGUGCCUUCGGGAACUGUGAGACAGGUGCUGCAUGGCUGUCGUCAGCUCGUGUUGUGAAAUGUUGGGUUAAGUCCCGCAACGAGCGCAACCCUUAUCCUUUGUUGCCAGCGGUCCGGCCGGGAACUCAAAGGAGACUGCCAGUGAUAAACUGGAGGAAGGUGGGGAUGACGUCAAGUCAUCAUGGCCCUUACGACCAGGGCUACACACGUGCUACAAUGGCAUAUACAAAGAGAAGCGACCUCGCGAGAGCAAGCGGACCUCAUAAAGUAUGUCGUAGUCCGGAUUGGAGUCUGCAACUCGACUCCAUGAAGUCGGAAUCGCUAGUAAUCGUAGAUCAGAAUGCUACGGUGAAUACGUUCCCGGGCCUUGUACACACCGCCCGUCACACCAUGGGAGUGGGUUGCAAAAGAAGUAGGUAGCUUAACCUUCGGGAGGGCGCUUACCACUUUGUGAUUCAUGACUGGGGUGAAGUCGUAACAAGGUAACCGUAGGGGAACCUGCGGUUGGAUCACCU
rnacentral:rRNA from 1 species